GCCAAGUUUAGCAUGGCCCUUGCGCAAGUAUGAUACAAAGAAGUUUAGCAUGGCCCUUGCGCAAGUAUGACACACACAAAUCGAGAAAUAGUUGCAUAUAUAU
rnacentral:snRNA from 1 species